rnacentral:rRNA from 1 species
UAACUGGAGAGUUUGAUCCUGGCUCAGGACGCACGCUGGCGGCGUGCUUAAUACAUGCAAGUCGAACGUGUACUUUCGGGUACAAGUGGCGCACGGGUGAGUAACGCGUAGAUGAUCUACCCUUGAGAUUGAGAUAACCUUGGGAAACUGGGGCUAAUACCGAACAACGCACAUCUGUUGGUUCAGAUGUGUUAAAGUGGCGCAAGUCACGCUUGAGGAUGAGUCUGCGGCCUAUCAGUUAGUUGGUGGGGUAACGGCCUACCAAGACGAAGACGGGUAGCUGAUCUGAGAGGAUGAUCAGCC